ACGGAAGGGGGCCAGGGCGGCAGUUGGAGGGAACCUGAUUUCCUGAUGACCACGAGGAGGUCCGGCGUCUUGGGGGAGGGGAGUCUUCAUCUGUGAGGAACCGCACUGACUUUGACGGCUAGGGGAGUAAAACAUUUACUGUAAGGCACAUGCAGAGUAGUGAUCACAAGAACAGUUGAAGAACAAUGCACAAAGCCAAAAAUGUGAGCUUUUGUCUCUCGCGAGAAAUCAUCUGAAUGACAUUACCUUGUCUGUAUUGUUCUUGUGUGAGUCUGGUCUGACUAGGAUUGAGUGAGGCCCAUUGGAAGGCUGUCUGUCAUGCUGAAAUGUUGCCUCAUGUGAAGCAGUGAAGUUCUUGUCCUUAAAGACUGCAGCAGCAGAGGGCACUGCUGGCUCAGUCAUCCAGCCCAGUGUUCUGCCAGAGCUGGACUGGCUGCUAUUUUUCUUCCUCUGCAGGGCAGUUGGUGGGAAGCAACAGUGGAGCCAGAGAUUCAUCUCCUCGGGGUUAAAGUCAUACAGCCCCCUGCAGAAAGUCGGAGGUUGGGACUGCUGGAGGGGCUGCACCUGAGAGGUCUGGCUGACGGCCUGCAGCGUGCUGGCAGUGCCAGGCACACCGCCACUGGCAGCUUCAUUUCCAUGUUGCCAGUUCUCAUCCACUUUGUGUUUCGAGGUGAUACCAUUACCUGGCGUGAGGACCAUCUCUCCUGACGAAUCAUCUCGUUGGUUACGCAUCAAAGGUCUGAGAGCAAGC